UUAUUACUCCCUCCAAUCCAUAUUAAUUUUCGAAUAUUGCAUGUAUCUAGAUGCGUUUUAGGCAUAGAUACAUCCAUAUUUGGGCAAAUUUGAGACAAUUAAUAUGGAUCGGAGGGAGUAUCAU
rnacentral:pre_miRNA from 1 species